GACGAACGCUGGCGGCGUGCUUAACACAUGCAAGUCGAACGGGCCUUGUCCCCUUUUUUUUGGGGGUGGGGUUAGUGGCGAACGGGUGAGUAACACGUGAGUAACCUGCCCCUCACUUCUGGAUAACCGCUUGAAAGGGUGGCUAAUACGGGGUGUUCUGGCCUGCUCGCAUGGGUGGGUUUGGAAAGAUUCGACCGGUUUUGGUUGUUUUGGUGGGGGAUGGGCUCGCGGCCUAUCAGCUUGUUGGUGGGGUGAUGGCCUGCCAAGGCUUUGACGGGUAGCCGGCCUGAGAGGGUGGGCGGUCACACUGGGACUGAGACACGGCCCAGACUCCUACGGGAGGCAGCAGUGGGGAAUAUUGCACAAUGGGCGCAAGCCUGAUGCAGCGACGCCGCGUGAGGGAUGGAGGCCUUCGGGUUGUGAACCUCUUUCGCCAGUGAAGAAGGUCCUGCUCUUUGUGGUGGGGUUGACGGUAGCUGGGUUAAUGAAGCGCCGGCUAACUACGUG
rnacentral:rRNA from 1 species